CCUACGGGCGCUGCAGUGGGGAAUAUUGCACAAUGGGCGCAAGCCUGAUGCAGCCAUGCCGCGUGUGUGAAGAAGGCCUUCGGGUUGUAAAGCACUUUCAGCGGGGAGGAAGGCGUUAAGGUUAAUAACCUUGUCGAUUGACGUUACCCGCAGAAGAAGCACCGGCUAACUCCGUGCCAGCAGCCGCGGUAAUACGGAGGGUGCAAGCAUUAAUCGGAAUUACUGGGCGUAAAGCGCACGCAGGCGGUCUGUCAAGUCGGAUGUGAAAUCCCCGGGCUCAACCUGGGAACUGCAUUCGAAACUGGCAGGCUAGAGUCUUGUGGAGGGGGGUAGAAUUCCAGGUGUAGCGGUGAAAUGCGUAGAGAUCUGGGGGAAUCCCGGUGGCGAAGGCGGCCCCUGGACAAAGACUGACGCUCAGGUGCGAAAGCGUGGGGAGCAAACAGGAUUAGAUACCCCAGUAGUC
rnacentral:rRNA from 1 species